CAGCCAAGAGUUGCAGCAUGGAACAUGAAACUUAUCAACAAGGUCAUAAAGAUGGAUACUAACACAAAUGGCACAUUUGGGAAACUCAAGCUCAAGAAACUAGCUGGUUCAGUCACUGAGACCUCUUUAUUUGGGGAUUUCUAAGACAUAGAUAAUUUUAUUUCACACAGGGCAUCUGCACCCAUGUCUUCAAAG